rnacentral:lncRNA from 1 species
AACGGUCCUAGCCCGUUAGCCCGUUUGGCCCGCGGUCCCGGGCCGGUCCAGGACCGGCCCACUUGCCACCCUUAUUCAAUUGUUUAGAUCACCAUUUACACCUAAAAUACCAAGCACAAACCUAUGGUGCGCUCAAAUUACUCCAUGGUUGUUGUAGUGUUGCCAACUCCCAUAAAAUAACGCCAAAGCUGUAUACAUCAGAUUUCUCAUUUGAUGGUUCAUCACGAAGAACUUCAGGCGCCAUCCAUUCCGGCCGUCACAUUAAGCACCAAAUCAUUCUUUUCCUUAUUUAGUUAUCAAGAAACGAGCCAAAAGACCAACAGAACACUAAAGGAACCAGAGCUUGAAUCAGGAACUUACAGUUCCGGCAGCAGUCUUUGAUGAAAGAAAUGUAUUAGCUUUGAAACGAGAAAGACCAAAAUCACAGACCUGAUGAGGACAUUAGACAAGUGAGAACAUUUAGAAUCUUUUACUG